CGGGGAGUAGCGCAGCUGGUUAGCGCACCACGCUUGGGACGUGGGGGUCGCCCGUUCAAAUCGGGUCUCCCCGA
rnacentral:tRNA from 1 species